AAGAGUAAGACCUUGGACUGUCGAAGAAACGGCUUCAAAUUUUGGGGACCAGUCGGGUACCCAGUAAAAGCAUUUUCCGUGUAGUUUAAUUUCCGUGCACAUCGAACUGUCUGAUUGACGUUUAUUUUUUUGACAGUUCGUUGUCGAGUUUUAUGUUUUGUUUUGUUGUUUCUUUUCUUGUCAACUUUUUUUAUCAUCAGGCGGAAUAAUGCCGAAAUCCAAAAUUGUUGGAGAUCAGCACCCCACACAACUCGUUCCUGGUGAGAAGGAUCCGUGACGGGCAAGACAUAUCAAGGCCAAAAUCCAGUACAAGGAUGGAAUCCCGCCAGAAGGAGUCCACCGAGUCCACCCUCCACUUAUUGCUGCGCCUCCACGGUUAUGUCAAGAAGCGCAAGAAGAAUAAUUACUCCACCCCAACAUCAAGCACAGGAGGAAGAAGGUCAAACUUGCCGUCCUCAAGUAGUAAAAGGUCGAUGAAAACGGCAAGAUCCACCUACGUCGUGAGUGCACCAGCGAGUCCUGCUGUGCCGGAGUCGUCAUGGCCACCCAUGAAGAUCGUCACUACUGCAGCAAGUGCCACCUGACCCUAAUCUAUUCCAAGCAGGAGGAAAAGUGAAAGGUGGCAAGCCUUCGCUUUCUCCGGGUGUUAUUUUGCGUUUACUAAGUAACAAUGCCCGAAGGGAUCUUCUUCUCUAAUGUUUAAGGAUUAUGAAAAAAAUAAUGGAACUCAAAUCCUCAAAAGAAAAGCUUGAUACGGCUGCACAUUCCGUAUUGACACCUAAAAAAA